rnacentral:rRNA from 1 species
GACGAACGCUGGCGGCGUGCUUAACACAUGCAAGUCGAACGGAGUUAAGGAGCUUGCUCCUUAACUUAGUGGCGAACGGGUGAGUAACGCGUGAGGAACCUGCCUCUCAGUGGGGGACAACAGUUGGAAACGACUGCUAAUACCGCAUAAAACCGUAGUACCGCAUGGUACAUCGGUCAAAGAUUUAUUGCUAAGAGAUGGCCUCGCGUCUGAUUAGCUAGUUGGUGGGGUAACGGCCCACCAAGGCGACGAUCAGUAGCCGGACUGAGAGGUUGACCGGCCACAUUGGGACUGAGAUACGGCCCAGACUCCUACGGGAGGCAGCAGUGGGGAAUAUUGGGCAAUGGGCGAAAGCCUGACCCAGCAACGCCGCGUGAAGGAAGAAGGCCUUCGGGUUGUAAACUUCUUUUACCAGGGACGAACACAAUGACGGUACCUGGAGAAAAAGCAACGGCUAACUACGUGCCAGCCGCCGCAGUAACAC